rnacentral:rRNA from 1 species
AUUGAACGCUGGCGGCAGGCCUAACACAUGCAAGUCGAGCGGAUGAAGGGUGCUUGCUCCUGGAUUCAGCGGCGGACGGGUGAGUAAUGCCUAGGAAUCUGCCUGGUAGUGGGGGAUAACGUCCGGAAACGGGCGCUAAUACCGCAUACGUCCUGAGGGAGAAAGUGGGGGAUCUUCGGACCUCAUGCUAUCAGAUGAGCCUAGGUCGGAUUAGCUAGUUGGUGGGGUAAAGGCCUACCAAGGCGACGAUCCGUAACUGGUCUGAGAGGAUGAUCAGUCACACUGGAACUGAGACACGGUCCAGACUCCUACGGGAGGCAGCAGUGGGGAAUAUUGGACAAUGGGCGAAAGCCUGAUCCAGCCAUGCCGCGUGUGUGAAGAAGGUCUUCGGAUUGUAAAGCACUUUAAGUUGUGAGGAAGGGCAGUAAGUUAAUACCUUGCUGUUGUGACGUUACCAACAGAAUAAGCACCGGCUAACUUCGUG